CUCCCCUUGCUGCUCACCCAGGGCGUAUAUGGUCCGCGGCGAGGGGGGUUUAGCUCCCGUUAGGAGCGCAAACAAGGGGUUUUAGGGAUCGCUUAGAGAGACGAAGCAGGACGUAGGUCGCGUUACCUUGCCUUCCUCCAGUACCUGGAGCCGUCGCCGCUCGGGUUCCUCUAGUACCUGGAGUAGUCGCCGUUCGGCUACCUCUGGUAUCCGGAGCCGUCGCCGCUCGAGCUCCUGAUAGGGAAGCACUCCGCCGAGGCGUUGGCCGCCGAGGAGCAGAUGGAGACCGAGGUCCCGAAGCUGCGACGAAUGCUAUCCAUGCGGGCGGACGCUCGGGCAGCAAAGUGAGCGAGUAGAGGUACGACGAUUACCCAGGGACGGCACAUGCGUUACGCCGCAGCACGUGCUCAGGCCACACGUCUACUCGUCCGACGUAAACGCCGUCGACCACCAGACCCCGGCCACCUCGCUUCGGGAGCUGAUGUAUUCAGCGAAGGACGGCGGCCACGAGUUGCUGACCUCGGAGCUACGGGCAAGGGAGGAGAAGAAGGAGGUGUGCGAGACCCGAGACCGGUUGCAGCGGCGCACGAGCUGCCCGCCGGAACACUUGCUGAGACACGUGUCGCUGGAGUCGAAGGACCCCUGUGAAAGGUCAUGGUUGCGGUUCGAGAGGAGGUAGGAUGCUAUGUGUGAGGUGAGCGGCGUCAAGUCCCUCAGAGACCUGACCUACGACCACUCCUUCUUCCGUAGCAACUAACAGCUACUGACCCGAGAACUCUGAGGCCUUAACUCCGCGUUCUACGUUAACGGGCCACCAGGUCCAGAGGGCGCCCUGAACGAAGGGUAGCCGGGGGAAACGGGUUCCGCAGUGGCCUCCCUUGUUAGGGCCGCCCGUUUUCGUAGAUGCUAACGGUUCAGAAUAGAGUUGUCCUUCUCCUCAGACGGCGGAUGUUCGGGUGUAGGACGUCCUAACGGGUUUCUACGUGAGUCUGCCCACCGUCUAGAAUAACUCCCUACAAAUUCUCGACCAUUUGAAGACCUCGAGGUAGUUCCCACGGGCGAAGUUAGUUUACGUUUCCCUCCACGAAGACUAUGAGGUGAAGACGUCUGGUACAAACCAUGGCAUUGUUUAGGACGAUUUUUGUGACCCUGGAGUAGUCACUGUUUACGUCCACGACGGCAGAGUGCCGGAUAAUUUUAGGGAACCUAGUGUAGAGGGUGUUUACGUCCGGGUUAGUUCGUAAGAUCUUUUCUACCCACGAUAUCGUUGUCACGACCAGUCCCAAGACAACCUUCUUUUUUUUCUCUUCUAAACUACUGACUCCUUCUACUAGGACUAUCUUUUUCCGUUGCCUGACUUGACCUCAACGACUGACUUCACCUUCGACCUAGAACGCCGGUCAACGACUGACUUCACCUUCGACCUAGAACGCCGCGGUUGAACUACCGGUUGACUCGCCCGUAAUGAACCACGAGGAAGCUCAGCUAGACGAAGUCCAACACAACCUCGUAGCUCGAUACAAUACAAUAUUUGAACUCUAAAGGUCCAGAGGAUCGAUCUUAUUGAAGAUGAUCACAAUACAAUAGUGGUACCUCUCGCUGUGAUGUUGAGACAAAGAUUCACACACAACACAAUUCAACGUUCCCCUAGCACUUAGUCUUGGUUUAGUCAAGAUAAUAUAUAGUAGCUGGUACAGUCAAAAACAAAACAAAAAAUAAACAAAGGUCACUACGAACAACAAACAACUCCAGAAGACUUCUUGUUAUUGUUUUAAAAUGUAAACUACGUCUUCAAGACGAUACGUAAGUAAAUGUGAAUGACGACCUCUUAG
rnacentral:rRNA from 1 species